rnacentral:rRNA from 1 species
UACAGAGGGGGCAAGCGUUAUUCGGAAUUAUUGGGCGUAAAGGGCGCGUAGGCGGCUUGGCAAGUGGAUGGUGAAAUCCCUCGGCUUAACCGAGGAACUGCCGUCCAAACUGCUUCGCUUGAGACCGGGAGAGGUGAGUGGAAUUCCCAGUGUAGCGGUGAAAUGCGUAGAUAUUGGGAGGAACACCAGUGGCGAAGGCGGACUCACUGGACCGGUACUGACGCUGAUGCGCGAAAGCGUGGGGAGCAA